GAAGUUCGGAGCUGCAAGAACCCAGCUACUCACUCGCUGAACCCAGGCUGCCUGUGGGACCUUAAGGAAAAACAAUUCUGCGGCCCCACCUAAUCGGGUUGUUUUUGAUCACAUCCUCUAUGACUGUGGCAAUCAACAUGAGUCAGAUUUCAUACAAUCCCUCUCAUCCUCCUCAUCACCGUCAUCAUCAUCACUAUCAUCAGCAUGCAAUCAUGACUACUAUAUCUUAAAAAAUCAAGACUUCCAUAUUCUAUAGAAAAUUUCAAUGUAAAUGAUAGCUUUUUAUUUGUUAGUUUAUUAUUUUUUUUUUGGAUUACUAAUAUAAAAACCAUAUUUUAUUCAGCCACCAGAGGGAGCUCCCAAAUCUAUGGAUUCUAAAAGAAAAUAAGGUUGAAAUACAUUUGGAAAAGUUA